GGAUAGCGUGAGGGUUUGGCAUCUCGCAAACACUGGAUCAACUAACAGCUAUACAGUCCACUUGGACGGAAAGAUUUGUACGAAACGCCCGCAUCUUCCCCGGGAGGAGGUUUGGCCGCCUAUACGACAAACGCAAUUCAGAUGAGAAGGACGAAGCGGUCACCUGUUACAGGACUUACCAGGUGAUCAUGACCUAGGAGGGCGCCACCGUCCUCCUUACGGAAGGACCCGUAUGAAGGGGCGUCCGAGGCUCCGUUU